GUAAGGAAUAUUGGACAAUGGACGCAAGUCUGAUCCAGCCAUGCCGCGUGAAGGAUUAAGGUCCUCUGGAUUGUAAACUUCUUUUAUAAGGGACGAAAAAAGGCUUUUCUAAGUCGUCUGACGGUACCUUAUGAAUAAGCACCGGCUAACUCCGUGCCAGCAGCCGCGGUAAUACGGAGGGUGCAAGCGUUAUCCGGAUUCACUGGGUUUAAAGGGUGCGUAGGCGGGCAGGUAAGUCAGUGGUGAAAUACUAGAGCUUAACUCUAGAACUGCCAUUGAUACUAUCUGUCUUGAAUAUUGUGGAGGUAAGCGGAAUAUGUCAUGUAGCGGUGAAAUGCUUAGAUAUGACAUAGAACACCUAUUGCGAAGGCAGCUUACUACGCAUAUAUUGACGCUGAGGCACGAAAGCGUGGGGAUCAAACAGGAUUAGAAACCCCGGUAGUCC
rnacentral:rRNA from 1 species